rnacentral:rRNA from 1 species
GAUGGGCAUGCGUAACAAUUAGCUAGUUGGUAGGGUAACGGCCUACCAAGGCUACGAUGUUUAGGGGAACCUGAGAGGGUGAUCCCCCACACUGGUACUGAGACACGGACCAGACUCCUAACGGGAGGCAGCAGUGAGGAAUAUUGGUCAAUGGACGGAAGUCUGAACCAAGCCAUCCCGCGUGCAGGAAGAAGGCGCUAUGCGUUGUAAACUGCUUUUCCCGGGGGAAGAAAAUUCUGCACGUGUGCGGAACUGUCGGUACCCUGGGAAUAAAGCAUCGGCUAACUCCGUGCCAGCAGCCGCGGUAAUACGGAGGAUGCGAGCCGUUAUCCGGAUUUAUUGGGUUUAAAGGGUGCGUAGGCGGACCGAUAAGUCCAGUGGUGAAAACCUGCAGCUUAACUGUAGACGUGCCAUUGAUACUGUCGGGACUUGAGUGUGGUCAAGGUAGGCGGAAUGUGUAAUGUAGCGGUGAAAUGCCUUAGAUAUUACACAGAACACCGAUUGCGAAGGCAGCUUGCUGGACCAUUAACUGACGCUGAUGCACGAAAGCGUGGGGAGCGAACAGGAUUAGAU